UUGGUUCUACGUUGGGUGCAAAAGCUGUUGUUCAACAGCUACACCAUAUUUCAAUCCAGUGACUGAAGAAAUUGAGGCCAACAAAUAUUCAUGUGACACCUGCGAGAAGAAUGAAAUCACCACAAGUAUAAGAACUAAUGGAUUUGGAAGGAAGAAAGAUUGCUUAAAGAAAAAUUACCCGCAACCAAGUUUUAAAGUUGUCAAACUCACUGAUAAGCCUAAAGUGAUCUAGAAGUUUCAAGAUAAUGUGCGAGUGGAGGUUGCCAUACAUUCAGAUUUUCCUAAAAUUUCAAGUACAUGUUCUGCAAUUCAGG